AAUUGGAAAUUAGAAAGAAUUAGGAAAUAUAAAUAGAAUUGGGAUCGAAAGUAUGAUCUUCAUUAAUGUUUACAACAUUUAAAUAGGAUACAAACCAUCAACUAAUACCUAAAAAU